CUCCUUUCAAAACCCAAGGCCACGUCCAACCUCACAGGCCCAAACCACGCUUACAUAACCCGCAGUGACACUAAGUGUUUGUGAGGCCUGCUGAAGUGGGGCUGGGGCUGCCUGCUCUGGAGCACAGGGGACAUUUUGUCCUGCAAAAUGAUGCUGUUUGGGGCGUGUGCGUGAGCGCGUGUUUUUCCCCUCCUGAAGUUCAAAAACAACUCCUUUUGCUCAAACUGUCAAAAAAGAGAAGAAGAAGAAAAAAAAGAAGAAGAAAGUCUGCAAUAAUUUCAGUGUUGGGCCCAGAUCAAGAAUUGCAAACACUAAGAUAAUAUUUUCCAAAGUUACCAGGCGAGUAGGAGUCGCCGAGUUACGGGAAAUUGGAGGCUGACCUGGUGUAACUUCCAGGGGCCCCGUCUCCUGGCUGCUUCCUCAACGGUGGUGGGCUUUUUCCUGUGAUCAUUACAGCUCACCGUGAUCUUGUCCUUACUACAUGCCAGGUUCCAGAGAGCUUUUCCUGACCACGCUGAGAGGGAGGUGUGACUACGGAAGAAUGGCUGGAGAGAGGCAACGCUGCUUGGCUUUGAAGAUGGAAGGAGAAAGCCAGGAGCUAAGGAAUGCAGUAACCUCCAGGAUCUGGAAGAGGCAAGAGGACAGGAGCUCCUCUAGAGUCUCUGGAAAGGAGCACAGCCCCAGCACCUCGAUUUUAGCCCAGUCUGACCCAUGGCUGCCUUCAGACCUCCGGAACUGUCAAUUCAUAAAUUGGUUUUGUUUUAAGCCUUAUAAGUUUGUGGUAAUUUGUUACAGCAGC
rnacentral:lncRNA from 1 species